CAGGUGUUUGGCUGCGGCUCAGUUACUGUUCGACUCCAUUAAUGAGUUUUAGGAGUGAGGGACGAAUCCCACUGCUGAGUUCUCAGUAGAGACUCGAACAGAUGUGUGGAUGACGUAGGAAACCUAAAUUUCCCUAAACAUGGAAUAUUAACGUAUUGCUAACGAGCGUGGGAAGAAACUCGAGGUGUAACCGGUGAUACUUAGACUUGUAAUACAGUGAAACUGAAAGUAUAAAGAAUGUUAUAAAGUUGUUCUGCAAGACUUCCAUAAACAAAUAGUCCUGAAGUUGAACAUUAACGUUACUUUCAUAAUUUCCACUGAUCUAGCUCACUGAACGUAGAAAGAUGCAGUAAUAAAAAUACCAAUCAUUUCAUCUCAACAUGUUUUGCAUCACUAAGCAUCCAAAUCUAGGGGGAACACGGUGGCUUAGUGGUUAGCACGUUCGCCUCACAACUCCAGGGUCGGGGGUUCGAUUCCCGCCUCCGCCUUGUGCGUGUGGAGUUUGCAUGUUCUCCCCGUGCCUUGGGGGUUUCCUCCGGGUACUCCGG